rnacentral:misc_RNA from 1 species
CAUUCAUACGCCAACAUCAUCUAAAUCUAUUGCCUAUUUAGUCUUUGGUCUCUUAAUAUUCGGAUGAAAGCAAAGCGAAGAUAACAUUUCAUUACACAUGAAAAACUUGAGAGAACAACCAUAUUUGGUUUUAAUUACAGUAAAGUAGUAAUAAUAAUAAUAGUCAGAUCUAAGUAUGGGGGGUUCAAUGAGAGUUGAAGCCAGGAUUAAACUUGUAGUAAUUGAUUAUCUAGGCUUCUUUCUACCAAGCAAUUAAAGCCAAAAACGGUAAACUAGUAUUGCUCAGUUUUCACUGCAAAUUGACCACCCAAUCCCAGCCAUGGCGCCUUGUGUUCUUCCUUUUUAGGAGCUGCUGCUUCCUCUCUAUGGUAAGGUACUUUUGCAGUUAGCCUAUCUUUUCUCUUCUCCAAAAACCUUGUUAAUGAAGCUCUUCUCGCAAUAGGUAAAUCAGAAACAAUUGGCUGGUUAGGCAUUUGAUUUUCCUGGAUGGAAGUUUUUCCGAAACUCGGAACCACCAAAUCGGCAGCAGAUUCCAAUGGUUUAGCAGGAUUGUUUCCCUUGCUAGUACUAGCCAUAAGCAUGAUUUCCUUAGCUUUAUCAGCCGGAAAAUCAUUAAACACAAUAACUUGACCUCCAUAGAAUAUCGUCAUCUGUGCCUUUUCCGGUUCCGACUCAGCCUUCAUUCCACCUUGAGGGAACAGAUUCAUCGAUUUCUGAACCAACUCACCAGAUUUCUCAAUCAUCGGCAACAAAUCCAUAGUAGUAGAACCAGCUGAAUCGAAAUUGCGAUGCAUAUCAAGGCUGAGAUCUCCCAAAGAACCUUUCUUCUCUUUCAAGUAUUGACUCAACAAGUUACAUGUAUGAGAGAAAUGCGAUUUCUGACCGGCAAAUCUCCCGGAAUCCACAAUCUCCGAUGAAGCCAUUUGUAAUAGUAGUAUUUUUUGAAUGAAAAAUGAAAAGUAA